rnacentral:misc_RNA from 1 species
GAUGAAGAACGCAGCGAAAUGCGAUAAGUAAUGUGAAUUGCAGAAUUCAGUGAAUCAUCGAAUCUUUGAACGCACAUUGCGACCGCCAGUAUUCUGGCGGGCAUGCCUGUUCGAGCGUCAUUUCAACCAUCAAGCCCCAGGCUUGUGUUGGGGACCUGCGGCUGCCGCAGGCCCUGAAAACCAGUGGCGGGCUCGCUGUCACACCGGGCGUAGUAGAUUUUAUCUCGCUCUGGGCGUGCUGCGGGUUCCGGCCGUUAAAAAGCCUUUUUUACCCAAGGUUGACCUCGGAUCAGGUAGGAAGACCCGCUGAACUUAAGCAUAUCAAUAAGCGGAGGA